GCCUGGGUGGCUCAGUCGGUUAAGUGUCUGACUUUGGCUCAGAUCAUGAUCUCAUGGUCUGUGGGGUUCGAGCCCCGCGUCGGGCU
rnacentral:tRNA from 1 species